UUAUAUUUUAUUAUUAUUACAAAUUUAUACUUAUUUAAAAAAUUUUCAUUAAAAAAUUAAGUUUAAAAUUAUUGUUUAACGCUAAUUCAGUGCAAAAUUAAAACAGAUUUAAAAAUUUAAUUAAAAUUCACUAAUUAAAUUUUGAAUAAAUAAUUUAAAUAUUAAAUUUGAAUAUUAAUUUAGAAAAAAAAGAUAAGCUAAAUUAAGCUUUUAGAUUUAUAACUAAAUUUAAAUAUUUUACUUUUUA
rnacentral:misc_RNA from 1 species